UAAUGUCAAUACAGCAGCAAAAAUAGAUCUAUUCUUAAUGACAAUUAUGGUGUUCCAGUCCCCCACAUGUCUGAGGUUCACGUACAUGAGGCACAUGGCCACAAAACAACAACCUCACUUGAGCACGGGGAGGAAAGGGAGGCCGAGGAGCAUAAAGUCUUCCAUAAGUCUGAGGGACACACACACGAGACUCAUGGCCACAAAACAACCUCACCUGAGCACGGGGAGAAAAGGCACGAGGAGGAGGAGCAUAAAGUCUCCCACAAGUCUGAGGGACACGUACAUGAGACUCACGGCCACAAAACGUCAUCUGAGAACGGGCAGGAGAGGGAGGAGGAGAAAGAAAGAAAAGUCGAGCACACAGUUUCCCACACAUCUGAGGGACAUGGACAUGAGAUUCAUGGCCACAGAGCAGCAGCCUCAUCUGGUCACGGGCAAAAAAGGGAGGAGGAGGAGGAGAAUAGAGUCUCCCAUAAGUCUGAGGGACAUGGACAUGAGACUCAUGGCCAAAAAAAAACAACCUCUUCUGGGCAUGGGGAGGAGGAGCAUAAAGUCUCCCAUCAUUUUGAUGGACAUGGGCAUGGACAUGAGACUCAUGGUCACAAACCAACAGCCUCAUCUGGGCACGGGGAGGAACAUAAAGUCUCCCAUAAUUUUGAUGGACAUGGACAUGGACAUGGACAUGAGACUCAUGGUCACAAACCAACAUCAGGGCACGGGGAAGAGCAUAAAGUAUCCCAUCAUUUUGAUGGACAUGGACAUGGACAUGGACAUGAGACUCAUGGUCACAAACCAACAACCUCAUCUGGGCACGGGGUGGAGCAUAAAGUCUCCCAUAAUUUUGAUGGACAUGGACAUGGACAUGGACAUGAGACCCAUGGCCACAGAACAACAACCUCAUCUGGCCACGGGGAGGAGGAGCAUAAAGUCUCCCACAAGUCUGAGGGACACGUACAAGAGACUCACAGCCACAAACCAACAACCUCAUCUGGGCACGGGCAUGGGCAUGAGGGAGAGCAUAAAGAAGAAAAAGCUGAAAGGAAAGGUAUCUUGGCAAUGUCCUUGUAGAUGGUGAAGUUUACUAUGCAGUGCUAAACUUUUACAGCAAGCUGAGCUUAUAGCCAAAAAAUGGGAUCCUAGAAACUGAAAUAAACAGAAAUGUCUCAGUGACAUGACUGCCUUUGGAUCAAUUGAAGCUUAAGAAUGAACCUCACAAGAUAUUUUUUGCUUAUGUUCAUGAUAAUUGUGGUGUUUCAGUCUCCCA
rnacentral:lncRNA from 15 species